UUCUCCCUCUUGCCGCUUCCCCAUUUUUAUUCCUUCCGCAGACCCCAAACCCUGAUUCCUUCCACAAACCCCCAGCCAUGGACGACAACAACAACGGCCAAUAACCCGACCUCUUCGUCGCCGCCCCCCAACUCACCCCCGACGACGCCCGCUCCCUCCUCUCCUCCUUCACCCACGACCGGCUCCUCUCUAUCGUCCAAUCCGCCGCCCUCCGCCACCCGACGUCCGAACGACCAUCCGAGAAACCCACGACCAUCUUCUCUCUCUCUCUCUCCUGCGAUCCGUGUUCACGAUUCCAUGGCCACUCUCUCUCUCUGCGAUGUUUCUUCGAUAGAAUUCCAAGCAGAAUAACUAUGCAUUUGGUCCAUUGCUUUGCUAGAUGGGAGGAAGAAGGGACGGUGAUUCUUCCCCAAUCGAUAGGUCCGUCGGCGAGGAAGAUGAGAACGAUGAAGAAGAUGGAUGAUCGACCUGGGUUUUGAAAGUUGGGAUGUUGUCAUCGUUCUCAUUGCAGGUUGUGUUGGAACAGUUGACUUCUUCUCCUUGGAGCAAUAUGCUUUUAAUGAUAUACUAUAGCUUGGUAGUUGAAGCUAGGUGAGUAGUUGGAGUGAUUGCUUGGGACAGGAAUUCUUAUGAUCGAUUCUUUUGUUAUUUUCAACGUCUUUAAUUUGGUUACAGGUUAUUACAUAGUAUGAUAUUCGGGACACGGAUUAUCUAGGAUGCAAGUUAUGUAUAGCUUUUGUAUGUUUACUCCUAAAAUCGCUGCUUAGAUCUGCGAUUACAAAAAAAUCUUUUGCUCAUAUAUGUAUUUGUGAUAUAUUAAAGCAACAUGAUGUGUGUAUCUGUGUUAGCCCAUUCCGCAUGGUUCUCUAUGAAAGUGAUGUUAGGACUUAAAAGUUUUUUGUAAUCUGUUCAUAUUAACUAGAAUUGUUAAUGUCUCUAUUAAAAUGUUCUCCCUCUUGUUAAAAACCAAAAAGAAUGCGUGUGGAGGUGCCUUAUGGCCUGUAUAUAGAACAGAAAAUUUAAAUUGCAAGGCAAAAAACUGGAAAACGAAUGUCCUUUUUAGGGGAAAAAAGAUGUUAGAAAUAGUACAAAUUGCUGAGCUCCACAGAAUCCAGUUGUCGCCAUAUUCUAUUUGUUUGUUCAAUGAUUCAAUGUAGGUAACUCCUGAUUAUAGCAUGUCGUAUAAGACCAAAAACUUAAAAAUGUACAAUCCAAAAAAAAGAGUGCGAACAAGAUUCAAGUGUUUUGAUUAAGAUGAUAAGAUGCAAGUAUGCAACCUUGGCUUACUACAAUAUUUGCACCAUAAUGGAACUUACAAAGGACUGGCAUCUUGACGUUGACUAUUUACUAUCAGGAAGUCUAUUUCAUACCAUGAAUAAUAAGAACCAGUUUUCGCUUGCCAAUUUUGGCUUGAUUUUGCCAAUUAAGUCCCUUGAUUGGCGUUUGUGGAUAUGAAUUUGUGUGUUUCAAUUUCGGCUGGAUUUGUGUGUGUUUAUCUUCGGUUGGAUUUCAAUUUCUCUCUUUGUAUUUGAGGUUUAUGGGUUCUGAGUGAGAGGAGAGAAAGAGAGGGAGAUGGGUAGAAUCUGGUACAUAUGGUGUUUUGGAAACCUAGGCUCUUGGGUACCCUUAUGUUGAACAGCUAGCUAAAGUAGAUAAAUACCACUCUUUCUAGGUAGUUUUCCUAGGAUUUUGCCUAGGCUAUCAGAGAUGCUCUAAGGCCUUUUCUCCUUGGCAGCGAGUGCUAAUUGUGGACAUCGCCCGCACUGUUUAUGGAUGUGCAGUCAGCUGAUGCUGAUCAUUAGACUUAUUCCUCUCUCUACCUACCAAGCAUCUACGGAACUCUGGUGACGGCGAAACUCAAUUCGAGAAUCCCAAAACAGUUGUAUAGUUGCUGUACAGAUUAUUGGUGUUUUUUUUAUAUCAACUACACUACUACAGUAUCGGAAGAGGAAAAAAGAAGAAGAGGAAAACCCCACUCUGUUGAGCCAGGAAAAAAAAUGAUUUUUCUUUUGAUUUGUUUGCCAUGUUAUUUUCUUUCCCGGUUUAAGAAUGUGAAGCAGCGGAUACCCUAAUAAAAUGAUUUGGUUUGAUUUUCUCCUUAAGCUUCUUUGUUGAAUGGUGCAGAAUGUAGAUGCUCUCACUCUCAUCUUUAGCUCCCAAACCAAGGUGAGUUUCUUCUGUUUGAUAAGGCAAUAAAGCAGGGAGCGUUGGACUUAUCGGGCAAAUGGGAGGAUGAAUUUAGAGGUAGUGUUGUACCUAUUGAGAAAUUAUAUCAAUGCAGUUUUUUUUUCCUGUCAAAACUUUUGCGAUGCGAAUAAAAGAAAAUUUUAUGUAUGUUAGUCCACAUAUAUCAAUUAAAAUGCCAUUUAGCAAGGGAAAAUUCACUAUUGUCAUUGGCCUGAAGCAAAAAAUACAUAUAUCGGAAACACACCCUUAUAGUAUAAAUGAUGUCUUAGAGAGAGAUAGAGUUCGUCGUCUUAAGAUAUGUCUUAAAAAUGUGGAUGAUUUGUGUGGCCAAUGAGUUUGUUUUGCAUGCAAGAAGUGUUGCAUUUCAUGCCAACAUACAGAGUUGUAGACUCUCGAGUAAUUGUAUUUUCUUGUUGCUAUAGUUCUUGCGAUACGUGUCAAUGAUUUCCUGCGGAUUGGAAAGGAAAAGAAUACAGAAUUGUAGGUUGUUGCAUGUGAUUUUAUACUUUCUUCCAAGCUUCACCAGUUAUUAAUUUCCCUCAUUUUUAGUUAUGCUACUCUUCUUUGAUUUGAGCAUUUGGAAGUAGGGAUAUAUUUUCAUUAACUAGCGAGAUGUCUUUGAUAUGCUUUUCUAGAAUUGUUCAAUCCUUAUCUGAUUUGACCUUACCUCAACAGUCAAACAGCUUCGAUUCGUAAACAGCUUCGAUUUGUCAUUCACAGUAAUUCAUAUCAUCUUCCAGUAGAAGGAAUGGAUAGCUAAACUUAGCUUACAACUUUUUCGAACAGAUCCCUCUUUCUCAUAUUUCUGAAGUUGUUUAUAGGACAUCAGCCGAUUGGCUUGGCCAUUGAUCUUUUGAAGCACUUGGUUCCUUUGUAUUGUGGUCAAUGGACAGCAUACUUACUGACCUGGCUAUCCAUCAAGGAGCAGCUAAGGGGUCAAAAAAAGUUUCUCAACAAGCAUCUGCAAAAUCUCAUGUAAUUUUUACCGUUUUCCUUGAUUAGCUUUUCGUCGUUUUCUUUAGCUUUAAGAAUAAGGUAAAAGCUUGUUGUCAUGUUGUGGUCGACGUAAUGACUUGGAAUUUUUAUUUUCAUUAUUUAGUUACUAAGAUUUAAUGAAUUUGAGGCUUCUGACUUUGGGCCAAUGAAUACAACACACUAGAGAAGAUUCCUAACUGAACUAAGCGUUUUGAUGAUUCCUAGGACUGGACAAGUGUCCUAUAUCUGAAACUUGAACCUCUCACACUCAGAUGUAGCAUGGACAGGUUGUCGUCGUGUGAUUGUGUUUUCGGUUUAGCUCCCGAAACUUGUUGGGUUAUUGUCGUGGGCAAGUUUGAAACAUUCUGGACAAAAUUUUUGUCAUCUAUAGCACGUUUUAUUGGGUAACCCAUAGGACAAUUAGGAAUGAAAAGAGCAUUAAAAAGCCAAGUGAUAUGUUAGUCAUAGGAUUGGGCGCUGUUAGUCUUAAUUAACAUGCACAACAGCACAUGAAAGGCUUGGAUCACAUUUGGUAUGGGAUGUGACACGUGUUGGUUGUUAGUUUGUUGUUUUCCUAAAAUAUCUCCUUAAGGAGUAUACUGGAACGUGGGACGUGUUCUUUGAGCAUUUGGAUGCUGUUGACCUAUGUAGCACGGAUACGGACACGAAUAUGGACACGGGACACGGCAAUUCUAAAAAAAUGGAGAUACGGCCACGGCGGGAGACACGCCAUGUGUAUAAAUAAAUAAUAAAUAAAUAUAUGUACAUAUAUAUAUAUAUAUAUAAUUAUGAACCAUUGUAUAUGAAUAAUUUCACAAAUUAUAUAAAAAAAUUUCA